rnacentral:rRNA from 1 species
AUGCCCGUGUGUGAGAAGGCCUGAGGGUUGUAAAGCACUUUCAGUGGGGAGGAGGGUUGAUAGGUUAAGAGCUGAAUAAGUGGACGUUACCCACAGAAGAAGCACCGGCUAACUCCGUGCCAGCAGCCGCGGUAAUACGGAGGGUGCGAGCGUUAAUCGGAAUUACUGGGCGUAAAGGGUGCGUAAGUGGUUUAGUAAGUUAUCUGUGAAAUCCCUGGGCUUAACCUGGGGAGGUCAGAUAAAACUGGUUAACUCGAGUAUGGGAGAGGGUAGUGGAAUUUCCGGUGUAGCGGUGAAAUGCGUAGAGAUCGGAAGGAACACCAGUGGCGAAGGCGGCUACCUGGCCUAAUACUGACACUGAAGCACGAAAGCGUGGGGAGCAAACAGGAUUAAAUACCCUGGUAGUCCACGCCGUAAACGAUGUCAACUAGCUGUUGG